rnacentral:rRNA from 1 species
CAAUAGCGUAUACUAAUGUUGCUGCAGUUAAAAAGCUCGUAGUUGAACUUCUGGUAGGAGUGUCCCGGCCUUUUUGUUUUUACAAAUUGUAUGCUGUGUGACAUCUCUGGCCAUCCUUCUUCUUUGUUUAAAGAAGAUCUUUCACUGUAAAAAAAUUAGGGUGUUCAAAGCAAAAGCUUCUUUGGAAUAUAUUAGUAUGGGAUGAUAAGAUAGGCUCUAGAUGCUAUUUUGUUGGUUUGCACAUUUAGAGAAUGAUUAACAGGGACAGUUGGGGGUAUUCGUAUUUACAAGUCAGAGGUGAAAUUCUUGGAUUUUGGAAAGACGAACUACUGCGAAAGCAUUUACCAAGGAUGUUUUCACUAA